GUUGCAAAAAGAUUAAGAAACUAAAGACAUUCAGCACUUGAUGUUGAAUAAUGAUUAAGAUCUGUAUUUGUGGAUGGCCAAGUGCCUUAGUGGUCCUUCAGUGAAAUUUUUGGUUAAGCUGUGCACACAAUGGAAGUACUAAAGCUUACAGGAAAUUAUUUAAAAGCUUCAAGGCCUCUCUUGACUUCCUCAGCUAAUUUUGAUAAAGAUGCUCACUGGAAACUCUUGAAGGAGAUGCUCCUACAGACUCUCAAAAAAAUGUCAGAGCACUUAAAUCAGAUGCAGGAAAUAUAGGAACAUGUCGGACAUGAAGCUGCAACACUCUGUUCAUCAGCAAGUACUGUUAUUGUAUUGCCAAGUUCAUCAGCAAGUGUUAUUGUAUUGCCAACGUUUUAGAUUUUGGAGUAGUUACAAGUGAAAUUAGAUCUUUAACUUUUUAAUGUAGAUGCUGUUUUGA